CACGGCCAAUUAAAUUUAGCAAAACUGGCAUUAAUUAUAAGCAGUGGUCUAAAGUCAAACACCCAACUUGUGCUUCAAUAAGCAUGCCACAUCCAAUGGUACCAACCAAGUGGAAAAAGUGGGUCUUAACAUUGCGAGUUUUGGACUGGCAGGAACUGUCUCGAAGCUUUUCACCAACUAUUUCCCGGCCUCUCUCUAUCCAAAACCAAAAGAAGAAUUAUUUGGAAUAAUACACAGCAUGAUUAUGAACCGAAAAGUCCAAUAGAGUACACCAAUUUGUUUUGGAUUUGGAUGAUGGUGUUCUAUCAAAUUCAAAAUAAGAAAAUAAACUUUGAUCACAACUCCAAAACACAGUUUCAUUCAAGUCAGCACAAAGAAGAAAAGAAUUGUGGUCAUAAGUUUAUAUGGGGCUGUCUUUUGGAUUUUUAUGUUGGUUUCCAAUGGUGUAAUCUUUUAGCGACUUGUAUUUGUGUUAAGAUAUGACGUGAGAAUGAAACAACAACAUGACAACAUUAUAAAUUAUAAGUUACACUUUUUUUUUGCACCAUCAAUGACAUUUUGAAUAAUCAACAGCACAAUAUAAUGAAUUUGGGAAAUCAUCCUUGCCUCUAGCCUUACAAAUCUCUGAUUCACCUACCCGCUAUGCUAACCAAAUCAAAGGAACCAACACAGCAAAAUUUCUUACUACUCAAGCACUCAAAAAACUUACUCCCAAGACCACUCCAAGUAACAAAAAAUUCAGUGAUGAGGACAUAAAAAUGGGGCCAUACAAAGCCUGUGAAGUUGAACACACUUACGAGGCAGGACCAUCUUCAGUUGCAUGAAUGAAAUCUAUCUUCGCAUUGUAGAUCGGGAAGCUGGUGAUGAAUAGUGAGUUUUCACCGGAGCAUCCUCCUUCCUCUCACCAGUUUUCCCAGGAGCAUCCUCCUUCUUCCUCUCACCAGCCUGUGGCAAAGUGCUUCCUUCUCUACGCUCCUCCCUGAGUGCAGUUUCAUAUGACUAAAUUAAAGUACAUGUUGAUUAUUACCGCAUAAAAAAACCAAUAUACUAUUAAUUACAGGCAUUUCAUUACUCCAAUUGUCAUUAAAUAAUUAAUUAAACUAGUUAGGUCGCCAUGCCUAAACCCUAAACCCUAAUUAACCAACUGUAGAAAGAAAUUAACAACUGUUAAUUGACUAACAGAAUACCUUUUCAACCGACGCCAAAGGACCUCAUUGACCUCAAUCUCAAGCACUUCCUUCUCAUCCUCAGACCCAUCUUCUCUAAAACCCGAAACAGCCGACACACAAGCCAUCGUUGGAGAUUGAUCCGAUUCCAGAUCGAAACACGCGAUGCUUUGCCAGGAAAGGGAAAACUUUCUGAGUUAUUAUGAGCAAAAUUUUAGGGUUUGGCUUUGAAGGCUGUUAUAAACGCAACGACAUGUUGGUUUGGGCAUUUUCAUUUUCUUGGGCUACAAAGACCGGGCAAUGGAGCUAACGGGUCUAGCCCAAUAGAAAAGGGUAUUGACUUGCAGACAAGAGAUCUCAAGUUUGAAUUCUCACGGCAUUAUAGUUGUAUGUGUGUGUGAGAAAUUCACCUUCCCUUUAAUUUAGAUUAUCACUUGUACUUAAAAAAAAAACAAUAAUUAGAUAAUUAGACCCAAGAUUUAUUUUUAAAUAUGCAGACUCGCCCUAUAUGUAAGUUUCUGCAAAAGAGCAGAAGCCUUCAGAAAGAGCACAACCCACAACAGGUCUGAGUAUCCAAAAUAUUCAUCACGUACAUCUAAGCACAACUCCAAUCGCUUAAGAUUCCCAAGUGGCGCUAUGUUUUCCGCAAUCUUGUCAUCUGUAGAUUCAAACACAUAAUAAGAAAGAUGUAUAAGCUGAGGUUAAUUACAUUCUAUAUAGUAAUUAAUAUUUACUUAUAUAGCUUACUUGUCCAUGAAACAUGUGCAGGGUGAGAUUUUCAAGCUGAGCAAAACCAGUGAAGUGUGAAAUUGAAGGAGGUAUCAUGUGCUCUUUCCAUGUGGGGAAUAAUAUCUUUGUCAACUGAGGAGCAUUAAGAGGCAAGACAUCAUUGAAUUUGAGAUGGCCGCGAUGUUCAACAAUAGUGAGUUUCGGGGCAGAAAUCGUAACAUUCCAUUCGUUGAAACAAUCAGUCACCUCUAGACAGCGAAGGGAUGUAGCAACAAUCUCAAACUUAUAUGGCAAUGUGCACCUUCUCAAGCACAAGAAUUCAAGAUAGGACCUAUUGAUUGGCUCUCAGCUCUUACCUUCCUGCUUUUGCAUUCUUUAUAAAGGGUUGCAAGAUGCGCAAACGAAUUUAGAUAUCAAAAAUUUCGCAAAUGAAAAUCUAUAUAUACCUUCUCUAGGUGGCUUCGGCAGCUUUGCCUAGUGCUUCGGCAGAGGUUAUUCUUUCUUCUUCUUUUCUCUCUGCAU
rnacentral:lncRNA from 1 species